rnacentral:rRNA from 1 species
CUACGUGCCAGCAGCCGCGGUAAUACGUAGGGUGCGAGCGUUAAUCGGAAUUACUGGGCGUAAAGCGGGCGCAGACGGUUACUUAAGCAGGAUGUGAAAUCCCCGGGCUCAACUUGGGAACUGCGUUCUGAACUGGGUGACUAGAGUGUGUCAGAGGGAGGUAGAAUUCCACGUGUAGCAGUGAAAUGCGUAGAGAUGUGGAGGAAUACCGAUGGCGAAGGCAGCCUCCUGGGAUAACACUGACGUUCAUGCCCGAAAGCGUGGGUAGCAAACAGGAUUAGAUACCCUGGUAGUCCACGCCCUAAACGAUGUCGAUUAGCUGUUGGGCAGCUUGACUGCUUAGUAGCGAAGCUAACGCGUGAAAUCGACCGCCUGGGGAGUACGGUCGCAAGAUUAAAACUCAAAGGAAUUGACGGGGACCCGCACAAGCGGUGGAUGAUGUGGAUUAAUUCGAUGCAACGCGAAGAACCUUACCUGGUCUUGACAU